UUGGGGAAUCUUCCGCAAUGGACGAAAGUCUGACGGAGCGACGCCGCGUGAGUGAAGAAGGCCUUCGGGUCAUAAAGCUCUGUCAUCAGGGACGAACGGCCGCUGGAGUGGAAAGCCACCGGAUUGACGGUACCUGAGAAGGAAGCCACGGCUAACUACGUGCCAGAAGCCGCGGUAAUACGUAGGUGGCAAGCGUUGUCCGGUAAUAUUGGGCGUAAAGCGCGCGCAGGUGGGAUCUUAAGUCCCUGUUUAAAGUUCGGAGCUCGAGUCCGUGAUGGGAUGGAAACUGGGAUUCUUGAGUGCCGGAGAGGAAAGCGGAAUUCCCCGUGUAGCGGUGAAAUGCGUAGAUAUGGGGAGGAACACCAGUGGCGAAGGCGGCUUUCUGGACGGUGUCUGACACUGAGGCGCGAAAGCCAGGGGAGCGAACGGGAUUAGAAACCCGGGUAGUCC
rnacentral:rRNA from 1 species